rnacentral:rRNA from 1 species
UGAGGAAUCUUGCGCAAUGGGGGAAACCCUGACGCAGCAACGCCGCGUGAGUGAGGAAGGCCUUCGGGUCGUAAAGCUCUGUCAGAUGGGAAGAAAUGGGUGGGGGCUAAUAUCGUCCAUCCUUGACGGUACCAUCAGAGGAAGCACCGGCUAACUCCGUGCCAGCAGCCGCGGUAAUACGGGGGGUGCAAGCGUUGUUCGGAAUCAUGGGGCGUAAAGCGCGCGCAGGCGGCUUGGUAAGUCAGAUGUGAAAUCCCUGGGCUUAACCCAGGAAGUGCAUUUGAUACUGCCUCGCUAGAGGACGGGAGAGGAAAGUGGAAUUCCUGGUGUAGAGGUGAAAUUCGUAGAUAUCAGGAGGAACACCGGUGGCGAAGGCGACUUUCUGGCCCGUUACUGACGCUCAGGCGCGAAAGCGUGGGGAGCAAACA